GACGAACGCUGGCGGCGUGCCUAAUACAUGCAAGUAGAACGCUGAAGAGAGGAGCUUGCUCUUCUUGGAUGAGUUGCGAACGGGUGAGUAACGCGUAGGUAACCUGCCUUGUAGCGGGGGAUAACUAUUGGAAACGAUAGCUAAUACCGCAUAACAAUGGAUGACACAUGUCAUUUAUUUGAAAGGGGCAAUUGCUCCACUACAAGAUGGACCUGCGUUGUAUUAGCUAGUAGGUGAGGUAAUGGCUCACCUAGGCGACGAUACAUAGCCGACCUGAGAGGGUGAUCGGCCACACUGGGACUGAGACACGGCCCAGACUCCUACGGGAGGCAGCAGUAGGGAAUCUUCGGCAAUGGGGGCAACCCUGACCGAGCAACGCCGCGUGAGUGAAGAAGGUUUUCGGAUCGUAAAGCUCUGUUGUAAGUCAAGAACGGGUGUGAGAGUGGAAAGUUCACACUGUGACGGUAGCUUACCAGAAAGGGACGGCUAACUACGUGCCAGCAGCCGCGGUAAUACGUAGGUCCCGAGCGUUGUCCGGAUUUAUUGGGCGUAAAGCGAGCGCAGGCGGUUUGAUAAGUCUGAAGUUAAGGCUGUGGCUCAACCAUAGUUCGCUUUGGAAACUGUCAAACUUGAGUGCAGAAGGGGAGAGUGGAAUUCCAUGUGUAGCGGUGAAAUGCGUAGAUAUAUGGAGGAACACCGGUGGCGAAAGCGGCUCUCUGGUCUGUAACUGACGCUGAGGCUCGAAAGCGUGGGGAGCGAACAGGAUUAGAUACCCUGGUAGUCCACGCCGUAAACGAUGAGUGCUAGGUGUUGGAUCCUUUCCGGGAUUCAGUGCCGCAGCUAACGCAUUAAGCACUCCGCCUGGGGAGUACGACCGCAAGGUUGAAACUCAAAGGAAUUGACGGGGGCCCGCACAAGCGGUGGAGCAUGUGGUUUAAUUCGAAGCAACGCGAAGAACCUUACCAGGUCUUGACAUCCCGAUGCCAUUUCUAGAGAUAGAAAGUUACUUCGGUACAUCGGUGACAGGUGGUGCAUGGUUGUCGUCAGCUCGUGUCGUGAGAUGUUGGGUUAAGUCCCGCAACGAGCGCAACCCCUAUUGUUAGUUGCCAUCAUUCAGUUGGGCACUCUAGCGAGACUGCCGGUAAUAAACCGGAGGAAGGUGGGGAUGACGUCAAAUCAUCAUGCCCCUUAUGACCUGGGCUACACACGUGCUACAAUGGUUGGUACAACGAGUUGCGAGUCGGUGACGGCGAGCUAAUCUCUUAAAGCCAAUCUCAGUUCGGAUUGUAGGCCGCAACUCGCCUACAUGAAGUCGGAAUCGCUAGUAAUCGCGGAUCAGCACGCCGCGGUGAAUACGUUCCCGGGCCU
rnacentral:rRNA from 1 species